rnacentral:rRNA from 1 species
GACAGAGGGUGCAAACGUUUGUUCGGAAUUACUGGGCGUAAAGCGCGUGUAGGCGGCAGGGCAUGUCGGAUGUGAAAUCCCGUGGCUCAACCACGGAAGUGCACCCGAAACUGCCCAGCUUGAGUCUCGGAGAGGAAGGCGGAAUGCUUGGUGUAGAGGUGAAAUUCGUAGAUAUCAAGCGGAACACCGGUGGCGAAGGCGGCCUUCUGGACGAUGGACUGACGCUGAGACGCGAAAGCGUGGGGAGCAAACAGG